GCUGCCUGCAACUUGUGCAUACAUUGCUUCACCACUAAUUCCUUGGGAUUAAACUCUGACAUUGCAGGACGAUCUCCCAUCCCCUGACCGCAACAGCAUGGACCAAAUAAGUGACAAAGGAAAUAUGGAAUGUGCUUGCCAACCUGGCCUCCAGACAUUAAUGGCAGAGUACUCAAGAGAAGAAAAAGACGUGGCAAAUUUCCUACUAGAAAUGGCUUCACGGACAAGGCUUACAGAAAGCAAGGCUGCCCAAGUGACAUCGGGUACUUUUCCACAGAAGUUUGUGAACACGAUAAAUAGUAGCAACGUAAAUACAUUCACAGGCCUGCCAUCAUUCGAUGUUCUGAAUGCUCGUGUGACGUGCUACACAAAAAUUCAUCCACUUUCAGGACGGCACCAGUUAUGUGUAAAAACAAUUGCAUUGACAUUGGUGAAAUUGAAGCAUAUUUCCACUGCAUUCUUGAGUCACCUUUUUAACUGUUCUCUAACUACAUGUAGCAACAUAAUUGCAGAGACUGCUCAGUUGAUGUGUGAAAUUUUAAAAGUAACUGUGGCUGUGCCACCAAAAGAUGAAUUCCAGUGGCACGUUUGCAUAUUCGGCAUUAGGUGAUUCACCUGAAGUCGUGCCAUGGCUGGCGAUAUUGCAAGUAGCCUGUAUUGCAUAGAGGCAUUUGUGCGUGUGACCUUGGCUCCAUCAAAGCGUGGCGGCCUUGAGAGUAAGUGCGGUCUUCUGUUUGGAAAUCCAGCAUUUUUUAUGCCACUCAGCCACUUCAUACUUUUCAGACACGGUCGUUGCCAUGUGAUCUACAUGCUGCACUUGUUUGCAUUGGCCAAACCUGCAGACUUCAACUUCAACACACUUUUUGUAAAUUAGCAAUGCACAUUCUUUUGCAACUUGUAUUCUUCAUUGAAGUGCUGAUUUACACUACGCAUUCUGAUGCAAGUUUUCAUCUUAUGGUAUUCCGAGAUAUUUGCAGUUCACUUAUGAUCUGUGUGCAUAGAGUUGUGGUUAUUCUUCAAUGGCUGUUUGUUGUCCCUUUCCUUACUUGUAUUUUUUCACAAAAUAAACCACAUGCACUCAA